rnacentral:rRNA from 1 species
ACGCUCGACACCUAUUGGAGGCAGCAGUGAGGAAUAUUGGUCAAUGGACGCAAGUCUGAACCAGCCAUGCCGCGUGCAGGAUGACGGCUCUAUGAGUUGUAAACUGCUUUUGUACGAGGGUAAACGCAGAUACGUGUAUCUGUCUGAAAGUAUCGUACGAAUAAGGAUCGGCUAACUCCGUGCUAGCAGCCGCGGUAAUCUGAGCGGGCUGGCAAGGC